UCCAUUAUAAAUUGAUUCCUCAAUCAGGAGGUAAUGGCAAAAUAAAAAUAAGAUGAAGAUGGGUAUUUCCUCAACGAAGCUAGCCGUGGUUCUGAUCCUAUCUUUGUUUCUUAUUGGUGGUUUCUAUGCUGAAGCAGCAGGAAGGAUUAAUGGAAUAGAAGGUAAAUGUGAGACAGAGCACAAUUGUUCAAGUGAUGAUGAAUGUAACAGUCGCUGCACACCACUAGGUUACCCCCGUGGCAUAUGCGUUAAGCCUAUAGGAUCCUUCUGUUGUUGUAUAAAAAAUACAGCAUAAUAAUUCGAUCCUUGCAUAAGUUAUGGGGGUUCGAAAGAAAUAAAAGUUUAAUAAUUAAAUGAAAAAGAAAUUGUGCCCAUUUUUUUUUUC